rnacentral:lncRNA from 1 species
GGCCUGUUUAUGUUGCUUUUUAUUUUUAUUUCAGAUCUCUUAUAAUUUUAAUUUUAUAUAAUAAAAUAAUAAAAUUUAUUUAUGAAUUUAUUGUGUGAAUUUUUUAUUUUAAUUUUAUAGAUUAUAAAUUAUAAAUAUUAUAAAUAUAAAUUAAAAAUAUACAUUAAUAAAUUAUUUUAAAAAAUUAUGUGUAAAUUUUUAGCGACAUAAUU